rnacentral:rRNA from 1 species
GCGGCGGACGGGUGAGUAACACGUGGGUAACCUGCCUGUAAGACUGGGAUAACUCCGGGAAACCGGAGCUAAUACCGGAUAGUUCCUUGAACCGCAUGGUUCAAGGAUGAAAGACGGUUUCGGCUGUCACUUACAGAUGGACCCGCGGCGCAUUAGCUAGUUGGUGGGGUAAUGGCUCACCAAGGCGACGAUGCGUAGCCGACCUGAGAGGGUGAUCGGCCACACUGGGACUGAGACACGGCCCAGACUCCUACGGGAGGCAGCAGUAGGGAAUCUUCCGCAAUGGACGAAAGUCUGACGGAGCAACGCCGCGUGAGUGAUGAAGGUUUUCGGAUCGUAAAGCUCUGUUGUUAGGGAAGAACAAGUGCGAGAGUAACUGCUCGCACCUUGACGGUACCUAACCAGAAAGCCACGGCUAACUACGUGCCAGCAGCCGCGGUAAUACGUAGGUGGCAAGCGUUGUCCGGAAUUAUUGGGCGUAAAGGGCUCGCAGGCGGUUUCUUAAGUCUGAUGUGAAAGCCCCCGGCUCAACCGGGGAGGGUCAUUGGAAACUGGGAAACUUGAGUGCAGAAGAGGAGAGUGGAAUUCCACGUGUAGCGGUGAAAU